rnacentral:rRNA from 1 species
UCAAAUUUGAAAUCUGGGUCUUUUAGGCUCCGAGUUGUAAUUUGUAGAAGAUGCUUUGGGUGCGGCCCCGGUCUAAGUUCCUUGGAACAGGACGUCAUAGAGGGUGAGAAUCCCGUAUGUGAUCGGUGGCUUGCGCCCGUGUAAAGCUCUUUCGACGAGUCGGGUUGUUUGGGAAUGCAGCUCUAAAUGGGUGGUAAAUUUCAUCUAAAGCUAAAUAUUGGCCAGAGACCGAUAGCGCACAAGUAGAGUGAUCGAAAGAUGAAAAGCACUUUGGAAAGAGAGUUAAACAGUACGUGAAAUUGUUGAAAGGGAAGCGCUUGCAACCAGACUUGCGCGGGGUUGAUCAUCCGGGGUUCUCCCCGGUGCACUCGGCCUCGCUCAGGCCAGCAUCGGUUUUGGUGGUUGGAUAAAGGCCUUGGGAAUGUGACUUCUUUCGGGGAGUGUUAUAGCCCUCGGUGCAAUGCAGCCUACCGGGACCGAGGACCGCGCUUCGGCUAGGAUGCUGGCGUAAUGGUUGUAAGCGACCCGUCUUGAAACACGGACCAAGGAGUCUAACAUCUAUGCGAGUGUUUGGGUGUCAAACCCAUACGCGUAAUGAAAGUGAACGGAGGUGAGAACCCUUAAGGGUGCAUCAUCGACCGAUCCUGAUGUCUUCGGAUGGAUUUGAGUAAGAGCAUAGCUGUUGGGACCCGAAAGAUGGUGAACUAUGCCUGAAUAGGGUGAAGCCAGAGGAAACUCUGGUGGAGGCUCGCAGCGGUUCUGACGUGCAAAUCGAUCGUCAAAUUUGGGCAUAG